AAGAUAAUGAUGUUAAUAUUUUUCGUCGCUGAAUGUAAAUUUAUGAUGUCAAAGUUAAACUGAUUUCAUACAAAUUCUAAAAAACUUUACUUCGAUGAUCAAUUAUUAAUGUCAAACAAUCUUUUUUCAGUGGUUUGGUGUGCAUGGUGGAGCAUCACAAAUAUUUCCAAUGAUUUAGGCAUACGAUUUCCGUUAGAUAUGCACCGUUUAUUGCUCAAUGGUAUAUACGUGGAUAAAGCUUUCUGUAUUAGGAAUUCACCUUGCCACUCAUUUGGUUUCUUAUGAUUAUCGUGACUUUGUAAUCAUAUAAUCGAAACGAAAUUAUGUCUCACAUGUUUCCAAAAAUUAUUGUCCAUGUUUUUGAAGCCACAAUAAUGAAGAAGAGCUCAAUUGUUUUUAUAAAAUGCUGAGGAAGGAAAUAACUUUUUGAUAAAAAUCAGCUGUUAAUGUGGGACUGUCAACUUAAUACAAUCUGGGCACUUAUCUCGACGCCGCUUUAAAAUGAUCAGCUUGUUUAAAUAUGAAGAUGAGGGCAAAAUGAUUKCACUGGAAAUAUGAACUUGCUGUUGCCUAUUCAAUUAUAAGGUAUGUUACUACGCGUCAACCCUGCGCAGCACUUCAUCAACUCCUUUAAGAUUUGAUACUUUUGACCAUACGUUGCUAAUAUUAAAAUAAAUAAAA